UACGUAGGGGGCUAGCGUUGUCCGGAAUCAUUGGGCGUAAAGAGCGUGUAGGCGGCCCGGUAAGUCCGCUGUGAAAGUCGGGGGCUCAACCCUCGAAUGCCGGUGGAUACUGUCGGGCUAGAGUGCGGAAGAGGCGAGUGGAAUUCCUGGUGUAGCGGUGAAAUGCGCAGAUAUCAGGAGGAACACCGGUGGCGAAGGCGGUCUCUGGGCAUUACCUGACGCUGAGGAGCGAAAGUGUGGGGAGCGAACAGG
rnacentral:rRNA from 1 species